rnacentral:rRNA from 1 species
GAUGAACGCUAGCGGCAGGCUUAACACACGCAAGUCGAGGGGCAGCAUAAUGGAUAGCAAUAUCUAUGGUGGCGACCGGCGCACGGGUGCGUAACGCGUAUGCAACCUACCUUUAACAGGGGGAUAACACUGAGAAAUUGGUACUAAUACCCCAUAAUAUCAUAGAAGGCAUCUUUUAUGGUUGAAAAUUCCGAUGGUUAGAGAUGGGCAUGCGUUGUAUUAGCUAGUUGGUGGGGUAACGGCUCACCAAGGCGACGAUACAUAGGGGGACUGAGAGGUUAACCCCCCACACUGGUACUGAGACACGGACCAGACUCCUACGGGAGGCAGCAGUGAGGAAUAUUGGUCAAUGGACGCAAGUCUGAACCAGCCAUGCCGCGUGCAGGAUGACGGCUCUAUGAGUUGUAAACUGCUUUUGUACGAGGGUAAACGCAGAUACGUGUAUCUGUCUGAAAGUAUCGUACGAAUAAGGAUCGGCUAACUCCGUG